ensembl:lncRNA
AAGAAUGUUAAGGAAUCAACCUUCAGAUUGUAUCACUAAAGAGCAAGGUUGACCAAGCUGGAGCUGUGUGCUCUCUGACAUACUCCAUGCUACACCACACUUCACACUACUGCAUCCCAGCGGUCCUUCCAUAUCUUCAACUGGAAAUCAGACAGCAAGGUGUAACAGUCAACAAUGGACCUGCAACACGUCAACCGGAUGAAAUAGGAAAUAGGCUUACCGCAGGCUACAGCGACCACCUGCAACCCACUUUCUCCUUCACAAGGGGCCUUUAGCACCAGGGGAGAGAUGAGAGAGAGAAGAGAAUAACAUGAGUGGAGGAGAAAGCACAUCAUCAUUUAGGACACGUUUCAGGAUUGUCUUUAUUAUGUUGCCAUUGGACCAACAACUUCAUCAACCAAUCAGGCAUUGUGCGACCUUCUGACAUCAUCAAAACGUGCAUGCAGAGUCCUGCCUGCUCCGCCGUGCUAAAGCAAAAUCCUGCCUAUCCCGCAACGACAGCAGCAUUGUUUGCACUGCUUUUCAAGAGUCUGGCGUAACCCAACUAUUAGAGCCAGAGGAUCUCUUUCGGCUGCUGCUGACAACAACUGCAUGAACCAGCCAGGCAACAACCCAUACUGCAGCCUACUGUUCCUUACAGAAGUCAGUCAGAGUUGGUACCAAGAUUGACAUGGCCAUUAUUCCCCCCAAAAAUGCCUCCUUGGCCACCAAUCCC